CUCUAUUGAAAACUGAGGAUCUCUGCUGUAACGUGACACUUUGUAAGGCUCCCAUAGGCUCUCAGAAGGCGCCAGAACGUUGAAUGAUGACUCUGCUGUCCCAGGCUGAAAAACGGUAUUGCAUUUGGUAAGUGGUCGAUCUGAGAACAAUGAGACGGGGGCGCGCAUGCAAAAGACGACUCCAUUUUCAACUUUGAGUCUUUGAACGAAAACAUGGUUUCCCGGUCGGAAUAGUAUCGCUAUUUUACGAGAAAAAUCGCAUAAAAAUUGAUUUUAAAGAGCGUUUGACAUGCUUCGAAGUACGUUAAUGGAAUAUUUUGAAAUUUUUUGUGACGAUACGCGUCCGCGCGUCACCAUUCGGAUAGUGUCUUGAACGCAAGAACAAAACAGAGGAUAUUUGAACAUAACUAUGGAUUAUUUUGAACCAAAACAACAUUUGUGGAUGAAGUAGAAGUCCUGGGAGUGCAUUCUGACGAAGAACAGCAAAGGACCUGAGCCCUAGGACCAUGCCUCAGGACUACCUGGUAUGAUGACUCCUUGCUGUCCCCAGUCCACCUGGCCGUGCUGCUGCUCCAGUUUCAACUGUUCUGCCUGCGGCUAUGGAACCCUGACCUGUUCACCGGACGUGCUUGUUGCACCCUCGACAACUACUAUGAUUAUUAUUAUUUGACCAUGCUGGUCAUUUAUGAACAUUUUAACAUUUUAACAUUUUGACCAUGUUCUGUUAUAAUAUCCACCCUGCACAGCCAGAAGAGGACUGGCCACCCCUCAUAGCCUGGUUCCUCUCUAGGUUUUUCCUAGGUUUUUGGCCUUUCUAGGGAGUUUUUCCUAGGGAGUUUUUCCUAGCCACCGUGCUUCUUUCACAUGCUUUGCUUGCUGUUUGGGGUUUUAGGCUGGGUUUCUGUACAGCACUUUGAGAAUAUCAGCUGAUGUACGAAGGUCUAUAUAAAAAUAAAUUUGAUUUGAUUUGAUUUGAACAAUGAGACAGGUAUUUCACCAGAUGUAUAAUCAAUACAGUUUUCUGUUCCCAAAACUAGAAUCUGUAAUGAACAGAUUAAAGUCUACAUAACGUAGUUCAAUCUUUGCCAAAGUUGUAAAAAAAAAAUGUAUUAAUGGUGUUGUUUAGGAGCGCAAAGGCAAAUUGAGUUUUUGCACAAACGCACUUCAGAGUAGG
rnacentral:lncRNA from 1 species